CUGAUAUGUAGCCUGAUUAGUGGGAGAUAGGAGGGACUGAUUCUUCACAGCCUUGAAGGGGAUAUUACUGUUUGCACAUGGCUUUAGCAUGCUGCCAGUUUAACUGGUUAUUUGUGAAGUUUCUCUAUCAGGAGCAGUGGGGACACAAAGUGCAGUGUAAAUCAGGCAUGGUGACAUCUGCUCUCUCUUCUGCCUUUCUUCUUGAUGGUGUGUAACAUUGUACAGCCUGAUAUGAGUGAAAAGAUGAGUGCUUCAAUCUGAGCAACUGAGGAAGAACAAAAUCUAACAACUCACUGAUAUCUUGGGCACUCACAAGAUGGAUAAGGCUCUAAAAGUACUUUUCUGCAUCACAUGCAAUGGGAAUGAAUUGGGAAAGUGAAGAGACAUUUGAGAAGGGAAAAUUUUUCCCUGCAGUCCUGAGGGUGAGAAGCUUCCUUUCUUGAAAUUAAAGUUGGAAUUUCCAUGUAAGUAACUGAUCUCUGGAACUGAAGCUUUAAGAAGAGCACUGUCAGAAGAUUUGGAGUAAACUCUCAAGAAAUGAUAACACUGGAAUUUAUGUAAGCAAGUGUCAUUCAUUGCUUGGGGAUUCACUUAGUGAUGCAAGUUUAGGAACAUGAGAAGAUGGUCCUUAGAAGUCAAAUUCAGUCAAGAAUUCAGAUGGAAGAGAGUAAUAAUAAUGAUAAUGGCGUAAAUGUUAAGUCAAAGUGAUGCAGGAUAUAAUUAUUUCAUAGUGUGAAUUAAUUUGCUGCUUUGCCAUGUCAGUAAUGACUUGAAGCAACCUCUGAACUAUAUUUUCUUGACUGAGAGCUCCAUAAUUGGAUCUCAUAGCAUGGUGGGUCCACUGCAGAAGUGAAUCUUGUAAGUUUUAGGGGGAUUGCAAGAUGAGGUGUCAGACAAAAUACUUUCUAGCAUUGCUGUUUUUAUUAAAUUCUCUUUUGAAUGUAUAAUUUUUUAUGCAUUUCAGUGAAAGAAGAAAACCUAUCAAGUUUUCCUUGAAAUAAAACCCUGACAGUUCUUACAUCUUACAGACAGUAGACGUAUUUAACAUCUUUGAUAAACUGAUUUUCAUUUUUUUCCCCAACUAAAAUAUAAAUAAUGAAUAAUAAUAAUUUUUUUUUUUCCCUAAAAUGUUGAGAAAUAAAACUGCAGGUUAUUUUUCAGCCCAAACUACGUAUUAGAAAACUUUCUAUGUCUCUUCAUAUAUGGUGCAUUGAAGCUUAGUCCAACUCAGUUUUCUGUCCCAUGCUCUGGCCUUACUUCAAAUACAGUAAUGCCACAGGCUGCAUUGUUUUUCUCAUUAUGUAUUGAACCCAGAGGAUUUUCUCCACUUGUGAGAUCUGAUCAAAAUCACUCCAUGCAUCAGACCAAGAUUUGUUCCUUUUGGUGACGUCUCUAGGAAAACCCUGGAGAACUCUGAGUGCUCAUUCUGGUAGCAGAAGUUGCACAGGUCUCCCACACACUUGAGCCAGGGAGAGCCAGGUCUGGGCCACGGAGGGCUAUGAAGGCAGAAUUUAUUGUGACAGAUUCCCUGUCAAUGGUGGUGUAAGCCAAAAGGUCCCCUGUCGGAAAUGAGAGUGUUAUCUGGGAUAUGCCUGUCAGAGAAACUGGGGGAGAAGCACACCCUACCCUGGAUAAGUGCCUAUAAACAGCAAAGGAAAUGGAAGGGCUCAGGGACUGGAUGAAAACUGUGUCAGGAAAUCAGUGUGACUCCAGUCAGGCCAUGGCGUUGGAAGUAUCUGAUCAUUACAUCGUAUUACAGCAAAUGAAACGUUUCUCUCUUAAGAGAAAAAAAAUUACCUACACCAGCAAGUUUUGCUUUUCAGGCUUUUGAACUGUGUGUUUUUUUUUGUGGCAAUCCCUGGCCUUUAAACUUCUGAAAACAAUAGUUCAUGCUCUUCCACAUUCUUCAAUUGGAAAACAAGGUUUCCAGGUUUUUGGCGGAUCUCCAUUUCCCACUACUGCAUGAGCCAAUUAUUUGGUAUUGAUGCUGAAGUAAGCUGAAAUGAAGAAACUCUCCUCUUGGCACCUGAAGAACAGAUCAGCCCUGCCAAGAGCUGGUUUAUUGCUUCAACAACAGCUGGGUUUGGUGCUCAGACAGCGACUUCUUUAAUGUCACCCAUUUGACUUGAAAACAGCAGUAAGUGUGCACUUGCUUAAGGACUAUUUUAAUUAAGUUUGAUUGUUUUCAUGUAUUAUAUUUAGGGGUAAAUACAGCUUGUUUUAAUUUAAAAUUAAACUGAAAACAAAUUGAUUGAGAAGAAUAAAAUUUUAAGUUGUUUAAAUGCAACUGAAACAAAACCAAAUACUUUUUUUUUAUUCCAUACAUUUUUAAAUCUAUCUUGCUACUGGGCAGAAGAUAAGUAGUGUGUACAAGAUGUGAUCAUUUUACGGUGGAACACUUUGUCCCUGGAGGCAUUCAGUGCCAGGCUGGAUGAGGCCCUGCACAGACUGAUCUGGUAAGUAACAACCCUGCCCAUGGCAGGAGGGUGGAACUAGUUGAUCUUCAGGGUGCCUUCCAACCCAAGCCAUUCUCUGAUUCUUUGAUUCCAUGAUACUAUGAUU
ensembl:lncRNA